AGAGGGGGAGGGGGAGACGGAGGAUUUUCUCCCUCUCUCUUUUCCUCCUCUUUUCCUCUUCCUUUCCUUUCCUUUCCUUUCCUUUCCUUUCCUUUCCUUUCCUUUCCUUUCCUUUCCUUUCCUUUCCUUUCCUUUCCUUUCCUUUCCUUUCCUUUCCUUUCCUUUCCUUUCCUUUCCUUUCCUUUCCUUUCCUUUCCUUUCCUUUCCUUUCCUUUCCUUUCCUUUCCUUUCCUUUCCUUUCCUUUCCUUUCCUUUCCUUCGCUCCCCCCCCUCUUUAAAAGACCCCCGCCUGACCGCUUCCCCCCUCUGCUCCCGCUCUCCCCGGCUCUCACUGCCUCUCCUCGCCCUCCCCCCCCCCCCCCCCCCCGCCGCCACUUCAAGUUGCAAAAUCAGAAACGGCAAACAAGGCUGUCGGGAGAGGCAUUCAGGAGAGUAACACGCCGGACACGCACACGCAGGCAGACACGCGCGCAAACGCCCGGCACACGGCUCCCCACUCGCGCACACGCACACACGCACGGGCACAGGCACACGCGGUCCGGGCGCUACGAGCGCGGAGGAUGUGCAGGCAUAGAGGAAGCCGCGGCGCCGCCGAGGAGGAGGAGGAGGAAAAGGAGGAGGAGGUGGAGGAGGAGGAGGGGAAGGAAGAGGAGGAGGAGGAGGUCGCCGCUCGCCGCUCUCCGCUGCCGGGGCUCGGCCGCCGCCGCUCCCGCGGAGGCUGCUGUCGCCGCCGCUGUCGUCGCCGCCGCCGGUGCCGGUGUGGGCUCUCGGGGAGGCGGGAGGUCGAGAGAGGAGCCGUCCGCCGGCGAUCAGAAUCUGAAAACGGGAUUUGUCUCCCGCUUUCCAGCGGUAUUAAUGAUGGAGAAGGAAACACUCGCGCUGCACGGAGGAGCAAGCGCCCGUGUAUGCUCACCCUUGCAAACACACGCGCUAGAGUCCACACAUAUAUUCAAAUCCCCAUAUGGUCCCAUCCCACUUCGGGCUAUUUUUACCGCCUGUCCCUCGUCCCUCACCCUUCAUUCCUCACCUAACAUAUCCACCCGCAGCCCCGCAGGUCUCCACGCUUCUCGCGGGGGUUUCACCCCUACCCUUUAA
rnacentral:lncRNA from 1 species